AUGCCCAUGGUGAGGAAGCAUGGAUGGCAACUCCCAGCACACACAUUCCAGAUCGUUGCAAUUACUGUUUUCUUCCUUCUGGUGGUUGCAUUUUAUGCCUUCUUUGCACCGUUUCUCGGAAAGCAAAUCCUUGAGUAUGUCGCAGUCGUUAUCUACUCUCCUGUGGCAUUCGCUGUCCUCAUCCUGUAUAUCCGGUGCACUAGUAUAAACCCUGCAGAUCCUGGGAUCAUGUCAAAGUUUGACGAUGGCUAUGUCAAUGCACCAGAAAGUAAUACUGGCUUGCAGUGCACCAAUUUGCCUGCAAAAACUGGCAUUGCUACUGGAACCAACUCCCCAACAUCUACUUGUAGAAGCUCUCUAGAUGGGCGUACUAACCAUGGAGGUUUGGCUGCUGGAGACACAGAUAUAAAUAUAAGAAUGCAACCACUAAGAAGAUCAGGGUGCUACUUCGGAGGCUUUAUUUGCGCUUUGUUUGUUAAGGAGGAUUGCAGGAAGUCUGAUGAUUCAGAGAAUCAAGUUGAUGCAGAAGAUGCACUGUUUUGCACACUAUGUAAUGCUGAGGUUCGCAAAUUCAGUAAACAUUGCAGAAGUUGUGACAAGUGUGUGGAUGGAUUUGAUCAUCACUGCCGGUGGCUAAAUAACUGUGUUGGACGCAAGAACUAUUUCACAUUUUUUGCUCUGAUGACUACGAGUCUCCUCUGGCUUGCUAUUGAAGUUGGAGUAGGCAUUGCUGUUCUUGUUAUGUGCUUCGUCAACAUGAAUGCAGAAAAAAUUAUUCAAGACAAGCUUGGGAAUGGAUUAACUCGUCUUCCGUUUGCAACUAUCGUAGGAAUAUUUACUCUUCUUUCUCUAGUUGCCUGCGUACCUUUGGGAGAACUCUUCUUCUUCCACAUGCUAUUGAUCAGAAAGGGGAUCACCACUUAUGAAUACGUUGUUGCGAUGAGAGCUAUGAGUGAAGUGCCUCAAGAUGAAGAGGAAGAUGAGAGAGCAAACAUUAUUUACUCCCCAACAAAUUCAGCAACUAGUGGGUUCAGCGGCGGAAGUUCACUUGGUCUUCACUACAAGGGUGCAUGGUGCACACCUCCAAGGAUUUUCGUUGAUCAGGAUGAAGUUAUCCCACAUUUGGAGCAUGGCAUGGCACCAUCUACCGUCGACCCUGAUGCCACUGGACAUGCUGAAAGACCAAACAAAGCCAAGAGGCAAGUCAAAAUCAGUGCCUGGAAACUUGCAAAGCUGGACGGCAAUGAGGCGAUGAAAGCUGCCGCAAGAGCUCGGGCAUCGUCCUCCGUCCUCCGGCCUGUAGGUGCGCGUGGCCCUGGCUCCACUGGCAACUCUCAUCCUCAGAGUAUCGCGAGCCAGGAUGACUACGAGACCGGCACGCAGAGUGCUAGUAGUUUGAGCAGCCCAGUCCACAUCCAGAAGCUUGCACCUCGCACCCAGAUGAAUGUGCCGCCGCCUCGACCGCCGGAGAGGCCUGGUUUUCCGACCACGCAGGCAACCAAUCCAAUAAUGUUCCGGCCAGCAACAUCCUACGCUCGCGAGAACCGAAGAGCGUCGGUUGUUUGGGAUCAAGAUGCUGGUCGGUAUGUGUCUGUGGCAUCCGCACCUGCAAGACCUGGGGGAGUUGCUGCUGGUUCUUCUACUAGAGCGCCACGUUUCUUGGAAAACCCAAGUGGUGGGAGAAAUCUUGCGCCAAUGAGUGCCUCUUCCUUGGCAUUACCAUCUGGACAGCCGUCUGAGAGACUGGCCUACUCUGGACAGUCGAUAUUCUUGGGCGGGCCGGUUCUGGGUGCUGCUGCUGAAUCUCGAACGAAUGAGGCCAACACAAGAGCACGGCCGGAUGACAGUGGGGAGCUCAACGCCGAUCAGCACCAUGCAAGGGGGACUGGGGAGAGGGGGCCAACGGCCGAGUCUUUCCCACCGGGAACAUUUCAAAAGAAACCACCAUUCAACAGGUGA
rnacentral:rRNA from 1 species